UGGAUGAAGUAAAAGAUCAGAAGCUCCAGUGCAGUGACGGGGACACGUCGUCUCACGGCAGUAAUUGAAUAUCUUCUGACAGUUGACAGAAGGGCAGGGGUUUUAGCCGGAGACCUCGUAAGUUCCCAAACUGUCGUUCUCGUCCUGGCCCCCUGUUUAUCCCCUUAAAGCUGAUACACAGCCCUUCUAAUCCCACUAGCCCUGUUUCGGCACAGAAGACUUCCAUACUAAAAAUGAGCUACAUAACAGCAGUAACCACAACAAUAAUAAUAACUUUAAAAAAAAACAUCUAUAUGGUCGUGUACAAUAGAAAUAUGUAUAAAGUACGGGAACAUCCAGAACAGAUCCAGUUUGUGGCUGGUCAGGUUAAUAUACACCCUCUGAAGCGUCCCAUCAGAGAAUCGCACCUGAAACGCCGUGCUACAGUUCGGUAGUCACUGAACUGCACUAUUUCCCAAUCUCUAAGUAAUAUCUGUUUUAAACAAAGAUUGUUUAAACACUGGAAAUGGUCGUUCUGUGUAAUUUUUGUGUAUGUGUAAUUUUCAGUAAAUAGCCUAUGAGGAGAUUUAAGAGUGUGCGACCUCGCUUAUGCCAUAUAAAACAAACGUAGAGAUUCAAAAUACGGCCGGUGUAUGAGCGUCACAAUGCACUUUGUAAUCUACAUUGGAACGAUGAGCACUUUCCAAUGGUAGGCCUACAGAGCCAAAUAAUAAUCCCUUUCUUGAUAAAAGCCUGUUAAAUUGAUAUCCAUACAAAGGACAGUGUUGCUCUGAGCGACCUGCUGCUAUGGCUGACCACGUGUUGCUUUAGAGGAGACUGAUUUCUCCUGCUGUCGCCGGUAAACCCUCGGUAAUCUGGUCAUGCGGGACUUGGCAUUCGCGCGUGACUACUCCAGGUGCAUUUUCUUGUGUGAGAAUUGACGUGUUAAAGACGUACCUCGUUUUCACGGUAGCUGAACUGUGGGCGUUUUCUACAGCAGCUGGCCGAGUGUCUAAUCUCCGUAAAAGCCUUGACCUGGCCGGAGAGAGACACAAACAACUUCAAAAUCUGCAGGUAUCCAGACUACUGUCACGAUUGGAAGAGCGAGCACACUGCUCAGUAGAAAGUUAACUGCAAUGCGCAAUUAUGGGCAUGGUUUAAUUACGAUACAAUAAUUUAAACAUCCGUCGGACAGACACAUUUCAAUUCUACGGAGUGUUACGUACAGGCCUACACCCGGAAGGAGGGCAUUUAGUGAAGAACAGAAUUAACGAUUUAUCGUCGGGGAUUUUUCUUUGCUAAAAGAUGCCACUACUCACAGAACUGUUUCCCCAGCGGAGCAAACCAUCUCGAAGCGCUAAGAAGGCGCACGGCAGGGCGGGAGGCCUUGGUGUCUGCGUCCUACCCAGCAUCCCAGAAAGCCCCGCACUCCAGGUGCCGAAGCGCUCUCCAGCGCAGACCAGAGCCGCUCCGUUCCUCUGCAAACUUCCACUCAGGAAAAUCUUCUCGCCCAGAGCGUCCGCGUCCGGCAGCAAGGCAGUGAUGGACUCUUUCAUCUACGAAAACUGGCGGGUCCAUCCCCGCGGCCCCGCACCCCGGUGGGCGUUUGAGGACGACCGAGCGCGCGGGCGGGAAUCCCUCUGCGAAAGGCUGGAUAAACGCCCGGGCGAGGACGCGCAUAAGCGCUCCGUCUCCCGAGAAGGUCUCGGUGACCAGCGCCAUGGCAACGGGGCAAGGCGUCGCUGCUCCGCCGUUAUCAGGGGGGGCCGAUCCAAGGGCCGCAAACGGAAGGAGGGCCACGCCCUCGCGGAGCCGGGAAAAGAGAUGAAGUCUUUGAGCAUCCGUGACUUUUACAAGCGCUGCAAGAUUGACUGUUGGAAAAAAAUUAACGGCUGCAGCGUUUUCAAAGCCUGAAUCGGCCAUCUACUGAAGCGUUUAAAAAAAAUUAUUUUAAGCCUCAAAACAAUUGUCCUUUUUACUUAAACAUAAUAAAGUUGCAAUUAAUAAAUUC